rfam:Triticum aestivum genome assembly, contig: Triticum_aestivum_CS42_TGACv1_scaffold_306322_4AS
UUAGUACUCCUUCCGUCCCAAAAUUCUUGUAUUAGAUUUGUCUAGAUACAGAUGUAUCUAAUACUAAAAUAAUUUGAUAUAUCCGUAUUUAAAUAAAUUUAAGACAAGAAUUUUGAGAUGGAGGGAAUAGGUU